CGAGCACGCGCGUGUGGCAUAUCAAUAAGCGGAGGAAAAGAAACUAACAAGGAUUCCCUUAGUAACGGCGAGUGAAGCGGGAAGAGCUCAAAUUUGAAAUCUUCAAGGUUCUACCUUGACGAAUUGUAGUUUAUAGAAGUGUUUUCUGUUAGUGGAGUGGCAAAGGUUCUUUGGAAUAGGACAUCAUAGAGGGUGAGAAUCCCGUAUUUGGUCAUUCCUUCUAGCUUUGUGAUACAUUUUCAAAGAGUCGGAUUGUUUGGGAAUGCAGUCCAAAAUGGGUGGUAAAUUUCAUCUAAAGCUGAAUAUUGGCGAGAGACCGAUAGCGAACAAGUACCGUGAGGGAAAGAUGAGAAGAACCUUGAAAAGAGAGUUAAACAGUACGUGAAAUUGUCAAAAGGGAAGCGUUUGACACCAGUGUUGUUUAGUUGAAAAUCAAUUAAAUAUUUUUCGAUUUUAAGUAGUAUUGACCUUAUCAGCUUGCUGCUUUUUUCUCAGGAAAUUAUUUAAUGCACUUUUCAGUUAACAAGUCAACAUCAAUUUCUUUUGUUGUAAAAAGGUAAGAGGAAGGUGGCUUGCGCUUCGGCUCAAGUGUUUAUAGCCUUUUACCCCUGCAAUCGGAGAGAUUGAGGUCUGCAGCGUAGAUCCUUCGGGGUUAGAUACAUUUGUGCUAAGCUAUAGCCUUGUAUAGACAACUUGUUGACUAUGCUCAGUCAUGUAGCUUACUCGCUUAUGCUAUUUUACCUACGCUUAGGAUGUUGAACUCUAUCACACACAG
rnacentral:rRNA from 1 species